rnacentral:rRNA from 1 species
GAACGUCCUUUCUUGCUUUGGCUAGUAGUAGGGAGUGGCGGACGGGUGAGUAACACAUGGGUGACCUGGCCUUUGGUGAGGAAUACCGGCGAGAAAUCGCCGACAAGUACCGCAUAGGCUCUGUUCGGUGGACCGAGCAGAGCAAAGCCGUUCUUCGGAGCGGUGCCAGAGGAUGGGCCUGUGGCCGAUUAGCUGGUUGGUGGGGUAAGAGCCUACCAAGGCGACGAUCGGUAGCUGGUCUGAGAGGACGAUCAGCCACACUGGGAUUGAGAACGGCCCAGACUCCUACGGGGGGCAGCAGUGAGGAAUUUUCCGCAAUGGAGGCAACUCUGACGGAGCAACGCCGCGUGCAGGAGGACGCGUUUCGGCGUGUAAACUGCUUUUCGGUGGGACGAGAAUGGACGGUACCACCGGAAGAAGCCCCGGCUAACUACGUG